UUGGAAAGCUAUCAUCUUUAAAAGAUCCUUCUUGAAAGUAUAUAUACUCUUUUCAAAUAUGAUAUACAAGUUUUAUAUGCUAAUCCAUACAUGCCAAUUUUUUGUACCCACAUAGGACCGUUUUGCAAUUAUUUUGCAAAUUACCAUGACACCAAAUCACCUUCUUACUGGACUAACUGGCUUACAAUGGAAGGAAUCUUUGCUGCCUGAGAACACUUAUAUGCACUUCUAGUGGGAUCCAGACACGAAGCAAGCAUUGUGUUUUUCGUCCAAGUUACAGUAUUCUUUCUGGAUAUGGUUCUUUGAACCUGAAGCAUCUUAAGAUGAAGCACAGUGCAAAUAACCAAACAGAAAAUUUUGGUGUUUAAAUUUCUUAGAAGGGCAAAAGCAGCUAUCAGUAAUUUAUUUGGUAACUUGCUUCAGCUAAUAAUAAAACUUUCACUAAAACACUGAAAGAGAAAUCACAACAAAACAGAAGAUUAUACAAACCUGUAAAUAUUCAGUAAAAAAAGAUCCCAACUCAGUUUUCAGAAGCUGCCUGUUCCAAAAAGAAAAAAAAAUCAUAAUAAAUGAAAAAGGUCAUGGUAUUUUAGUAUACAUUUAUUGAAUUUUAUGUUACUCAUGGUUGUUGCAGUACAAAUGCACAGAUUGUCAGAAAACAUGAUGAGAGAGGACGAUGCUUUACUGGAAUUCUCUAAUCUGAGUCCUGACAACUACACAAAUAAGCCACAUUCUUUGUAUGUACUUUUGUUUCCUACCUAAAUAGCAAUCAAACCUAAUUCUAUUAAUAGGUGCUGAGCAGAGGUGGUAUUCAGCAGGUUCUGACCAGUUCUGGAGAACUGGUAGCUGGUAGUUCCACGAGCUGCACUGGUUGCCAGUUUGCUUCCGGAUCCAAUUCAAGGCAACGGCGAUGGAUGUCGAGCGCCACUUGGGCGUGUGGUGCAAAGCUAACGCCAAGUGGCUGGCUACCCAGGAGCUCUACCAGGUGGAGGAGGACUUCAGCUACCAGUCUGCGCUCCAGGAGCCGAUGAGAGAACACCCGGUCACCUCGACAAGGGAGCAGAGGACCAUGAUCCUCAAGUGGAGGAGGACCCCUGGACGUCAGCGAGUCGGUUUUCACUAGGUCGUGCCAAUAUGACAUGUCCAAUAAAUCUAUUCUUUGAGGAA